CAAAGGUUUGGUCCUGACCUUGAAGUCAAUUUUUACUUAACUUAUACAUGCAAGUCUCCGCACCCCUGUGAAAACACCCUUUAGGCCCCUCCAAGGGGGAAGGAGUUGGUAUCAGGCACAAAUAUUAGCCCAAGACACCUAGCCAAGCCACACCCACAAGGGAACUCAGCAGUAAUUAACUUUGAACAUAAGCGACAGCUUGAUUCAGUCAAAGUAAAAAGAGCCGGCUAAUCUGGUGCCAGCCGCCGCGGUUACACCACGUGGCUCAAAUUGACCCAACUCGGCGUAAAGCGUGAUUUAAGAGAAUACUUCUGGUGUCAAAAACAUACUAAGCUGUGACACGCUUGUACCCAAGAAGACCUAAAUCGAAAGAUACACCAACCUGACCAACUUGAAUCCACGACAGCUAGGAAACAAACUGGGAUUAGAUACCCCACUAUGCCUAACCGUAAACUUUAACUUACAUAUAAACCGCCAGGGAACUACGAGCUAAGCUUAAAACCCAAAGGACUUGACGGUACCCCAAAUCCACCUAGAGGAGCCUGUCCUACAAUCGAUAACCCCCGCUUAACCUCACCACUUCUAGCAAAUCAGCCUGUAUACCUCCGUCGUCAGCUUACCGCGUGAGCGCCUUUAAGUGAGCUUAAUGCCCAUACGCCAAUACGUCAGGUCAAGGUGCAGCUAAUGAAGUGGGAAGAGAUCGGCUACACUCUCUACCUAUAGAAAAAACGAAAGACCACUUAUGAAACCUGGUCAGAAGGAGGAUUUAGCAGUAAAAAGAAAACAGAGUGCUCUUUUUAACCCGGCACUGGGGUGUGUACACACCGCCCGUCACCCUCUUCAUAGGCCCAACCAAAGUACAUAACAUAAUCCUGCCACAUAGAAGAGGCAAGUCGUAACAUGGUAAGUAUACCGGAAGGUGUGCUUGGAAACAU
rnacentral:ncRNA from 1 species